UACAGAGGUCUCAAGCGUUGUUCGGAUUCAUUGGGCGUAAAGGGUGCGUAGGCGGCGCGGUAAGUCGGGUGUGAAAUCUCGGAGCUUAACUCCGAAACUGCAUUCGAUACUGCCGUGCUUGAGGACUGGAGAGGAGACUGGAAUUUACGGUGUAGCGGUGAAAUGCGUAGAUAUCGUAAGGAAGACCAGUGGCGAAGGCGGGUCUCUGGACAGUUCCUGACGCUGAGACGCGAAAGCGUGGGGGGCAAACAGG
rnacentral:rRNA from 1 species